AUUGAACGCUGGCGGCAGGCUUAACACAUGCAAGUCGGACGGUAACGGGAAGAAAGCUUGCUUUCUUUGCUGACGAGUGGCGGACGGGUGAGUAAUGCUUGGGAAUCUGUUUUAUGGAGGGGGAUAACUACGGGAAACUGUAGCUAAUACCGCGUAAUAUCGAGAGAUUAAAGUGUGGGACCGUAAGGCCACAUGCCAUAGAGUGAGCCCAAGUGGGAUUAGGUAGUUGGUGGGGUAAAGGCCUACCAAGCCGUCGAUCUCUAGCUGGUCUGAGAGGAUGACCAGCCACACUGGGACUGAGACACGGCCCAGACUCCUACGGGAGGCAGCAGUGGGGAAUAUUGCACAAUGGGCGCAAGCCUGAUGCAGCCAUGCCGCGUGAAUGAAGAAGGCCUUCGGGUUGUAAAGUUCUUUCGGUGGUGAGGAAGGUUGGCGUGUUAAUAGCACGUUAAUUUGACGUUAGCCACAGAAGAAGCACCGGCUAACUCCGUGCCAGCAGCCGCGGUAAUACGGAGGGUGCGAGCGUUAAUCGGAAUAACUGGGCGUAAAGGGCACGCAGGCGGAUACUUAAGUGAGGUGUGAAAGCCCUGGGCUUAACCUAGGAAUUGCAUUUCAUACUGGGUAUCUAGAGUAUUUUAGGGAGGGGUAGAAUUCCACGUGUAGCGGUGAAAUGCGUAGAGAUGUGGAGGAAUACCGAAGGCGAAGGCAGCCCCUUGGGGGAAUACUGACGCUCAUGUGCGAAAGCGUGGGGAGCAAACAGG
rnacentral:rRNA from 1 species